rfam:Clostridium cadaveris strain NLAE-zl-G419 genome assembly, contig: Ga0070261_105
GGGGGCGCAAUGGUUUCGACGGGGGUACGGAGUUCUAAGGAAGCGAGUGGAGGGAAGUAUGGGCCCGCCUUAAAAAACGAUGCACUAAAUGUAAACGCAGAAGAUAAUUUUGCAUUAGCAGCUUAAUAUAGCUGUUCGUUCUACCUUUGAGUCCCACGGCUUAGGAUAGGGCGUCGAUUAGUGGGGAACCGAGCAUAGGAAAGCUUUGACCUAUGAACGGAAUUCAUGAAGCUACUAAAGUGAAAAGCCUGCCAAUGGGCGUUUCAUGGAGGGAAUGUUAAAUCAUCUGGCUGCACUCGGAGAUGCUUUAGGAGUUUGGCUUUCGGACAGGGGUUCGAUUCCCCUCGCCUCCACCA